UACGAAGGGGGCUAGCGUUGCUCGGAAUCACUGGGCGUAAAGGGUGCGUAGGCGGGUCUUUUAAGUCAGGGGUGAAAUCCUGGAGCUCAACUCCAGAACUGCCUUUGAUACUGAAGAUCUUGAGUUCGGGAGAGGUGAGUGGAACUGCGAGUGUAGAGGUGAAAUUCGUAGAUAUCGGGAGGAACACCAGUGGCGAAGGCGGCGAUCUGGGAAGAUACUGACGCUGAGGUGCGAAAAGCGUGGGGAGCAAACAGG
rnacentral:rRNA from 1 species